rnacentral:tRNA from 1 species
GCCCCGCUAGCUCAGCCUGGUUAGAGCGUCUCAUUGGUAAUGAGAAGGUCGCGAGUUCGAAGCUCGCGCGGGGCUCCA